GGAAAGAGUAGAGCAGAGGUUCUUUUGCCCAUCAAGGAAGCAGGAGCAGCCCGAGCAGCCUGGAGUGCAAGAGACCGCGCGUGAGUGUGAGUGUGAGCCUGGUGUGAGCCUGGGAAGCUGCACCUCCCGCAGCUGCAACAGGGAUUUGGUCUUUAUGUUGGGUACCAUGGGAAGCCAUUGGAGUGGUUUAACUUGUAAAAGGGCCACCAUGGAGGAAGGGGAAGUGAUCAGACUAGUUUUCAAAGAUCCUAGAGGUGGUAUGGUAAACAGGUUGGGUGGAUAGGGUUGGAAUGGAAUCGGGAUCGUUGAUUUUUCAGUGAUUCUCAGGACAAAAAGUAAUGAUUGGAACUGGGUGAUCGUGAUCCGAUAGAGAGAGAUCUAGAAUGGAGAAAAAUGAGAGAAUUAGCAGAUGUUAUGAUGGAUGGAACAUGGGGAGAGAUACUAAGGACAACUCGUGGGUAUGUAAAUUGUGUAACAGGGUCACAAUGGUCCUUCUUUGAGUGAUCACAGGAUGCGGAAGGCAGCAGAGAUUCUGGAGAGAUUUUCUCGUGGAGUGUAAGGCAGAGGUGGGACCAUAGCUACAGGGAAGUACAGGGUCUAGGGAAGGUGUCUGUUUUGUCUUUGAGCCUGGAGACACCAGAGCACAUAAACGCCGCCCUCGGGCUGAGGAGAGGUUGAAUGUAGUGGGGAGCUGGGGUCCUGGGAACAGAAGGCUGAGGAAGAGGCACAGCUGGGAGGAGAGAAGGAGCUGAAACCGGCACUGGGCAGAAAGGCUGCCUUCAGAUAGGAGGGGGGAGGGAAGGGAGAACAGGACCAGGAGGGUGGGUCUUAAGAUGGAGAAGAAGCGGGUAGCAGGCCCUGACAGUGCCGUCCCGUACAGAAGGUGCUAGAUCUUCCUUGUCUUUCUACCCUGCACAGCAUCAGUAGCCAGAUCUGACUGUGAGAAACUGACCAGUGUUUCCCAGAGUAACUGUCCUUAUUCCUUCUCAUCUUUCGCGUAAAUCUGUAUUCCUAGGAGAAAUUAAGCGUUUAUGGUAGAAUAAUGUAUUCUCAUUUAAUUUCAAAUCUACAUCUAGAAGUUUUGUUUGCUUCAAGAAAGACAAAAGCUACAAACUUGGGUGGGCUUAAUUUAAUCUUAUUGGCAGGCAGUACGCGUCUCCGUGGGGGGGGGUAUGGGUGUUUGUGAGAAUCGCAUCUUCUACAUUCACACGCGGCUUCCUAAGUGUGCAUUUUAUACAUUUUUGGUAGGUACUUGUUUACUGCAGCGGGGCGAUGCUGAGGGCAGGGUGGAGGUCACAAGGAUCCCUUAAUCCUCACCUUGGUGAAGAAUUACGUUUUAGUGCCAAGCUGUUCGGGAAAGUCCUUCUCCGUUUCCCACUGUCUGGGUGGCAUGAUCCGGAGUCAGCAGUCAAUGGACUCCAUCCCUCCGAGACUUGCUUAACCUGCAGCCGCCGAGGCACGAGGCACGAGGCACGAGCGCGUUACUUUCUGGCUGCCGCCGCUCCCUUAACAAGCGCCACGGUGAGGCAGAGGGGCGAGCCUGAAGGAACGUGUGUGCCGUGGAGCUGAGUGUCUCGGUGCACGAGGGAGAGGGAGGGCGAGAUCCACUUACAUCACUAGGACUGCAGCGAGUGAGCGAGCCGCGCAGGUUAGGAGACACACUACAGUGUCUUGCUUCUGCAGAAGCAGCGAUGCCGUUUGCUUCCUAGGAGGAAUUUUUUUGUUUAGAAAAGGAAGCUCUCUCCCCAGGAAAUGGCUUUCCUUGUGCGUUGCUAUGCCAACUGCCUGCAGCCAUGGUCCUCCAAAACUGGGCCUUGCCGUCUACCAUGUGUAGCCUGGGCGCAGCACCUGCUCCUUCAUUAUGAAACCUCUGGCGGCCCCCGCUCGCCAUGGAGUCCUGGGCCAGCAGGAGAGAUGCUCAGAGGACUGACGCUGAGAAACGGCGCUACUGGUGUUCAUGAUUCGAAACCAGAGCCUGGCGGUGCAGCCCGGCUUGAUGCCCAAGGAGUUUGUGCAGCGUCUCUUGAGCGGACUCGGGUGGGAACCGGGAGAGCAGGAAUUGACAGUGGGUGGGGACAGGCCCGCUGCUGAGCAGGGGGGCUCCCGGACUGGCCUCAGGGGCUCGUCGGCGACAGAGGCACAGCAUCUUCCUUAAGGCCACAGGCACGAAACAUCCCCGCUUCCGUAUGCCUGACCCCGCCGGGCAGCUGCGCAGCUGUGGAGCUGAAACCCCACGGAGCAGCGGCCGGGAGAAGCGCUUUUCUGGGUUGAAGCCGGUCGCCGCCUCCUGUCUCAGGAACCCACCGUGCUGCGAGUUUUCUCCAUCACACGCACUCGCGACCCUGACACAGGCAGGGCAGCCUGAGGGGCAGCGCAGUCUAAGAGCUUGGGCGCCUAGCACUGCAGUCUGGGCCUUCGAAGGGCCGACCUAGCCACCCAGCACCGAGUCGGUGAUGACUUUCGGGCAGCGCUUGUCUCUGUUCUCCGAAGUCGCGAUGUUAAAUUUUGAGAAAGGGGAAGAGUCGCUGAGGCUCUGGAAACUUGUCAGUGGUAGGCCUCCGAUGUGGACUGGUUCCUGAGAGUGAUAUGAUAUUAACUUGACAUCAGAGACUUUCUGUGGUGAUGUGGCCUGAGGCAGCCCUGCCCUGGUGUGCUGUGGGUAGUGCCUGGGCCUGGCCCUCUGGCCAAUUACCCUUCUCAGGCAGCUCCACAUCAGGACCCGCUCUCUCCUCCAUUCCCCAGGAGGAAAGGCAGUGCUGAGGGAGUUCCAGAGUGCUUUGAUUUUAUUAGCUGGGCCUUUGAAAUCAAACUUUGUGGGCAGGAGUUUUUCGAGGUAAAAGCAAGAGUGUUAGUGGAACUAUCCUCGAAGAACCUUAGAAACAGUUUAAACCGAAGGCCCCUUACCGUUUUCAUAGAUCUUUUCUCAAAGUGGGUGGAGGAGGAUAUUUAAAGUACCAAUAAUGUAAGUUUAAUGAACAGAGGCAGUUACUGAAACUUUGCUGGCAGAGGGAGGAACAGUGUUACUAGUCUGGGGAAGACAGGACAGCUGGACCCAAGUCCCUGCAUGGCGCGCAGAGCGCCUGAGCUCACGCUUCAUACACAUGUCCAUCUUCUGAGGAGCGCUCUGCGGCUCAGGUGUGGAAGGGUGCGCUCCGAGAAGACUGGGGACAUUGGCUGUGAAGUGGCUUGGGAUCAGGCCGUUCAUAGAAAACACAAGUGGCCUUUCCUGAGCCAUGUUACAGAUGGCAGCCAGGAGUCCCCAGGGCAUCUGGCUGUGGACCUGGCGGCCACUGAUGCCAAGGCCUUGUCCACUGACCUCCCAAGCUUCCUUACUGGACAGGCUGAGUGAGGAAAUGGCCUGGCUCCACGUAAUCGCUGGCUCGGGCCACACUUGAGCAGAAAUGGAUGUCACUUCCUGAGAAAAAUCUGCGGAUUUCCAAAUGAGCCAAAUUACUAAAUUCACAAGUAAUUUUGUUUUUGAUUCUUCAAAAUAUUUGUGGGUUUUUUUAAAGUGGCUUUUCUUCGGUACAGAACAGACAAAAGUAUUGAAUUGAGGGCUUUUUUUUGCUGCCAUUUGCACAUGUAGUAAACUCAGUCACUAUGUUUUGUUGGAAUUGUUCAGGUCUCGAGGGCUUUUUUGUCUCAGUGGUAUCUCAGCUGCUGGCACAUAAUAGGCAUACAGUGAACACAGUUGACCUUCUCAUUGAGUCGUAUUUCGGAUUAAUGAAGUCACAUUUGGCCCAAGCAUAAACCCUUGAAGCUGGCGGCCUGUAUGUACUUUGUCCGCUACCCUGCCUUUUUCAGUGUGGUCAGCGCAUAGCACCGUCAUGGGAAUCACCAGAACUGAACCCAGCCCUCGGCUGUGCUGUUACAGGUGUACUGUGCUUUUCAGUUAGCACCAGAGGGAUCCUGCGACUUUGUACGUAUGGAAAUAUAAAGAUCUUGUGAGAUUUGGAAAUAAAGCAGAUUAUUAACAUUUCAGAAAUGAUUUAUAAAACUGAAUGUUUGAAGACUACAGUGGAGCAGUAGUUGUAUAGAUUGUAAACUGAUGUUAUAUUAAAGUCUUAUAAACCUCCCAAGUUGAGGAAAAUGUUGAGAUAGCAUUAAAAGUCUCUUUACUCAAUUUAUCAACAUUUUAGUUUUGUACCAUAGAGCCUUCCCCUCCCAAUUUUGCCCACCUUCGAUGCCUCUGAAAAUCCUACAAAUUUGGGAUGCCUUUGAAACUUUGUAAAUUUUUAAAACAGGUCACUUUAAGUGAAUUUGAUGGUAUCAAACUGAGAAUUUGUUCUCCAGCUUUACAUCAUUUUUAUGGAAAUCACUGAUCAUGUGAUAUGCCUUACCCCUGAGUCAGACCUGUCAUGGCUCAGGUGGUAAGAGAGGAAUGUUACACAGAAGGAAGUGGCUGGCUAAAUUUCAGUGGUUAGGAUUUAGUGUGUGUGUAUUGAAUAGUAGGCACUGUAUUAUACAUUAUCUGACUUAGUUCCUUACACAAACCUCUCAAGAUAUAUUAUAAUCUUUUUUAGAGAUGAAAACUUGUUUUUCCAGAGACUGAUGAGUGGCAGAGCCAUUGGUUGGCCCCUGAGUUUGUCUGGUCAUUCUUUUUUUUUUUUUUAGUACUGGGGAUCGAACUCGGGUCCUUGCGCUUGCGCAGCAGGGUGUCUGGUCAUUCUUAAUGUGGGCCAGUUUAGUCCAAUUUGGUAUGGAAUCAUGGCAGCUGGCUUUAAACCAGUGGAAUAUGCAACUUGAAAACCAUGCUGACUUUUCCGUACCCCUCUUUCUGGGCAUGUGUGACAUGCCAGUCAGUGCUAAAGUAAAAGAGCAAUAAUGCCACGAUCAGAAUUACCUUACACAGCUUUCCCUUGCCUGCCCCAGGCAUGGACAGUGGUCCUUCAUCUUGACGAGCCGCAGUGAUGAGGGAAGGGUGCCCCUGAGUCCACUUCUUCCUCUCCAGCUUUUCUGUGUUCGGCCUCCACCAGCAGUCUUCUCCUUUUUGCUGCUGACUUUUUGAUACUGUCUGCUGCCACUGGUUUAAUCUGAAAUUGGAAUCUGUGGGUGCAGAGGACCAGUUAGCUCCUUCUCUUAGAGAUGGGGUCUCCCUAGCCUUGGACUCCUGGGCUGUCCUGCCUCCUCCUCCCAAGUGCCUGGGACUAAGGUGUGUCACCGUGCUUCGUUUACUGUUCAGCUCUCUAAAUGUAUGCUUCUGCCUCACCGUCCCCGGCCCGUUCCCUGUGAUGACAACUAUUGGGCCCACGCAGGUGCUGUGGCUCGCUUCCCCUAUGAGCCCUGGGUGUACACUGCAGCAGUGCUGACCCUAGGUGUUUGUCACCCUUUUUGGGUGGAGAUGCCCACUCGUCUGAUCUUUAUUUUGUCUGUUGUGACAGAUGUAUUUCCCGAGGUGGAAUAAACUUGCCUCUGGGGAGGGUUUCCACUUUGCCUGCUUGCAGAGAGGCCUGAGAGGAGGCAGUGUCCUAUUGUUUUAUUCAAGGACAAGGUCAUCUUGCUUUGGCUUUGGGCCAAGAAAUGCUGGCAAUAAAUAAUAGAUCUUUUAGUCCCAUGAGGAGGGAAGUAUAUUUAGAAAGUUGCCAAGGCAUUACCCAGACUGCUUAGGUGUAAGACUGAAGAAGCCCUACCUCCUCAGAGGAUACACUACAGCAAGAUCGUUGCUGUUAGCCAGAAGUAUGUGUUAGAUCCGUACUUGUCAAGUAUAGCUUUAAAGUGAUCUGUUUAAAAAGUGACCACCUAAAAAUAAAAUCAGUUAAGAUUAGUGAAAAAGACAAUGAUGGAAAGUUGUCAUUAGAAGCCCUUUAACUGCCAUAAGCUCACUGAUCCUAGUUUCUCUUCCAUUAUAAGUAUCGAUUUUACAUGGGAGAAGUAGUGGCAUGCAACCUGUACUGAAAUAAAAGCUGUGUGAGUGUGGUCUUGUGGGUAUAAAUUAGCCCUUCAUACACCCUGUGUUUCUUCGGCUGAUGUCCUUGAUUGUAGACCUGACCACACUCUUUUAACGGUUCUGUUCCAGUAGUCUGGUAAGAAGUUUUCCAGGGAGUAGGGUGUAGCUCAGCCAUUACUGAUGGAUUUUUUCUUUUUUGGAUUGUGGCUUAUGAGUUUCUUAGAAAAGAUUGAAAAAUAAAAUGAAUGGUUAUAUGCACAUUGGUAUACAUACAACUGUGAGUAUAUGUAUGUGUAAAAUAGAUAGUUGUGUAACAUUCUUAUCAUUAACUUCAUUGGUAAACUUUAGGUACACAUUAUGAUCCCAAUCAUCGUUGGAAUUUGUACCUGUACAUGGUAUAUCUUAGUUCUUGUUUUUUCCCAUUGCCCUUCCAACCUUCCAUCCCUCCCUAUUUACAAAAGCUUUGUUUCCAUUUUUUCCUCCUUUUUUCAUUUUUUUCUUUCCCUUCUCCCCC
rnacentral:lncRNA from 1 species